rnacentral:rRNA from 1 species
CGAACGGGCCCAAAGCCGCAAGGCCGAGGGCUAGUGGCGAACGGCUGAGUAACACGUAGGUGACCUGCCCCGAAGUGGGGGACAACUCUCCGAAAGGAGAGCUAAUACCGCAUGUGACCACCGGUCCGUUCCGGUGAUCAAAGUCGCAAGACGCUUCGGGAGGGGCCUGCGGCGGAUCAGCUCGUUGGUGGGGUAACGGCUCACCAAGGCAACGAUCCGUAGCUGGUCUGAGAGGAUGGCCAGCCAGACUGGGACUGAGACACGGCCCAGACUCCUACGGGAGGCAGCAGUUAGGGAUCUUGUGCAAUGGGGGAAACCCUGACACAGCAACGCCGCGUGAGGGAUGAAGGCCUUCGGGUCGUAAACCUCUUUUCUGAGGGAAGAAACCUGACGGUACCUCAGGAAUAAGCAACGGCUAACUACGUGCCAGCAGCCGCGGUAAUACGUAGGUUGCGAGCGUUGUCCGGAAUCACUGGGCGUAAAGCGCACGCAGGCGGCUUCGGAAGCCCAUGGUGAAAGCCCUCGGCCCAACCGAGGGAGGCCCAUGGGAACUCCGGAGCUCGAAGGCGGGAGAGGCGGAUGGAAUUUCCGGUGUAGCGGUAAAAUGCGUAGAUACCGGAAGGAACACCAGUGGCGAAAGCGAUCCGCUGGCCCGCUCUUGACGCUCAGGUGCGAAAGCUGGGGGAGCGACCGGGAUUAGAUACC